rnacentral:rRNA from 1 species
CAGCCGCCGCGGGAAUACGAAGGGGGCUAGCGUUGUUCGGAAUUACUGGGCGUAAAGCGCACGUAGGCGGAUAUUUAAGUCAGGGGUGAAAUCCCGCAGCUCAACUGCGGAACUGCCUUUGAUACUGGGUAUCCUGAGUAUGGAAGAGGUUAGUGGAAUUGCGAGUGUAGAGGUGAAAUUCGUAGAUAUUCGCAGGAACACCAGUGGCGAAGGCGGCUAACUGGUCCAUAACUGACGCUGAGGUGCGAAAGCGUGGGGAGCAAACAGGAUUAGAUACCCCGGUAGUCCCUGUCUCUUAUAC